AGGAUGAACGCUGGCGGCGUGCCUAAUACAUGCAAGUCGAGCGAACAGACGAGGAGCUUGCUCCUCUGACGUUAGCGGCGGACGGGUGAGUAACACGUGGAUAACCUACCUAUAAGACUGGGAUAACUUCGGGAAACCGGAGCUAAUACCGGAUAACAUGUUGAACCGCAUGGUUCAACAGUGAAAGACGGUCUUGCUGUCACUUAUAGAUGGAUCCGCGCCGCAUUAGCUAGUUGGUAAGGUAACGGCUUACCAAGGCAACGAUGCGUAGCCGACCUGAGAGGGUGAUCGGCCACACUGGAACUGAGACACGGUCCAGACUCCUACGGGAGGCAGCAGUAGGGAAUCUUCCGCAAUGGGCGAAAGCCUGACGGAGCAACGCCGCGUGAGUGAAGAAGGUCUUCGGAUCGUAAAACUCUGUUAUUAGGGAAGAACAAAUGUGUAAGUAACUAUGCACGUCUUGACGGUACCUAAUCAGAAAGCCACGGCUAACUACGUGCCAGCAGCCGCGGUAAUACGUAGGUGGCAAGCGUUAUCCGGAAUUAUUGGGCGUAAAGCGCGCGUAGGCGGUUUUUUAAGUCUGAUGUGAAAGCCCACGGCUCAACCGUGGAGGGUCAUUGGAAACUGGAAAACUUGAGUGCAGAAGAGGAAAGUGGAAUUCCAUGUGUAGCGGUGAAAUGCGCAGAGAUAUGGAGGAACACCAGUGGCGAAGGCGACUUUCUGGUCUGUAACUGACGCUGAUGUGCGAAAGCGUGGGGAUCAAACAGGAUUAGAUACCCUGGUAGUCCACGCCGUAAACGAUGAGUGCUAAGUGUUAGGGGGUUUCCGCCCCUUAGUGCUGCAGCUAACGCAUUAAGCACUCCGCCUGGGGAGUACGACCGCAAGGUUGAAACUCAAAGGAAUUGACGGGGACCCGCACAAGCGGUGGAGCAUGUGGUUUAAUUCGAAGCAACGCGAAGAACCUUACCAAAUCUUGACAUCCUCUGACCCCUCUAGAGAUAGAGUUUUCCCCUUCGGGGGACAGAGUGACAGGUGGUGCAUGGUUGUCGUCAGCUCGUGUCGUGAGAUGUUGGGUUAAGUCCCGCAACGAGCGCAACCCUUAAGCUUAGUUGCCAUCAUUAAGUUGGGCACUCUAAGUUGACUGCCGGUGACAAACCGGAGGAAGGUGGGGAUGACGUCAAAUCAUCAUGCCCCUUAUGAUUUGGGCUACACACGUGCUACAAUGGACAAUACAAAGGGUAGCGAAACCGCGAGGUCAAGCAAAUCCCAUAAAGUUGUUCUCAGUUCGGAUUGUAGUCUGCAACUCGACUACAUGAAGCUGGAAUCGCUAGUAAUCGUAGAU
rnacentral:rRNA from 1 species